rnacentral:misc_RNA from 1 species
GUGAAUCAUCGAAUCUUUGAACGCACAUUGCGCCCGCCAGUAUUCUGGCGGGCAUGCCUGUCCGAGCGUCAUUUCAACCCUCAAGCCCCCGGGCUUGGUGUUGGAGAUCGGCGUGCCCCCCGGGGCGCGCCGGCUCCCAAAUAUAGUGGCGGUCUCGCUGUAGCUUCCUCUGCGUAGUAGCACACCUCGCACUGGAAAACAGCGUGGCCACGCCGUUAAACCCCCCACUUCUGAAAGGUUGACCUCGGAUCAGGUAGGAAUACCCGCUGAACUUAAGCAUAUCAAUAAGCGGAGGA